rnacentral:rRNA from 1 species
AGUGAACGCUGGCGGCGUGCCUAAUACAUGCAAGUCGAACGGAGUUGCGCACGGGUGAGUAAUGUAUAGCGAAUCUUCCCUACACUAUAGGACACCAGUUGGAAACGACUACUAAUACUCUAUAGUGUAGUCGGAGGCUAUAUUGUAUCAGCUAGUUGGUGAGGUAAUGGCUCACCAAGGCUAUGACGCAUAACUGGUCUGAGAGGAUGAUCAGUCACACUGGAACUGAGACACGGUCCAGACUCCUACGGGAGGAAGCAGUAGGGAAUAAUGCUAAAUGGGGGAAACUCUGAAGAAGCAUCGCCUCGUGGAUGAUGACACUUUUCGGAGAGUAAACUCCUUUUGUUAGGGAAGCGGUACCUAACGAAUAAGCACCGGCUAACUCCGUGCCAGCAGCCGCGGUAAUUC